UACGUAGGGUGCUAGCGUUGUUCGGAAUCAUUGGGCGUAAAGCGCGUGUAGGUGGUUAGUAAAGUUGGGUGUGAAAUCCCUGGGCUCAACCGAGGAAGUGCAUCCAAAACUAACUAGCUAGAGAGUGGUAGAGGGAGGUGGAAUUCCGUGUGUAGAGGUGAAAUUCGUAGAUAUACGGAGGAAUACCGGUGGCGAAGGCGGCCUCCUGGACCAUUUCUGACACUGAGACGCGAAAGCGUGGGGAGCAAACAGG
rnacentral:rRNA from 1 species